rnacentral:rRNA from 1 species
UAGGGAAUAUUGGACAAUGGGGGAAACCCUGAUCCAGCAAUGCCGCGUGAGUGAAGAAGGCCUUCGGGUUGUAAAGCUCUUUCAUCAAUGAUGAUAAUGACAUUAGUUGAAGAAGAAGCCCCGGCUAACUUCGUGCCAGCAGCCGCGGUAAUACGAAGGGGGCUAGCGUUGUUCGGAAUCACUGGGCGUAAAGCGUAUGUAGGCGGAUCAAAAAGUUAGAUGUGAAAUCCCUGGGCUCAACCCAGGAACUGCAUUUAAAACUAGUGAUCUAGAAUUUGGUAGGGGCCAGUAGAAUUUCCAGUGUAGAGGUGAAAUUCGUAGAUAUUGGAAAGAAUACCAGUGGCGAAGGC